rnacentral:rRNA from 1 species
UGGUGGAGCGAUUUGUCUGAUCAGUUCCGAUAACGAACGAGACUCUAGCCUACUAAAUAGUUCGGGGACCCCCACAAAGGGGCCCCGCUUCAACUUCUUAGAGGGACAGGUGGCGUUUAGCCACACGAGAUUGAGCAAUAACA